rnacentral:rRNA from 1 species
UACGGGGGGGGCAAGCGUUGUUCGGAAUUACUGGGCGUAAAGAGCUCGUAGGCGGCUUGUUGCGUCGACUGUGAAAACCCGCGGCUUAACCGCGGGCUUGCAGUUGAUACGGGCAGGCUAGAGUUCGGUAGGGGAGACUGGAAUUCCUGGUGUAGCGGUGAAAUGCGCAGAUAUCAGGAGGAACACCGGUGGCGAAGGCGGAUCUCUGGGCCAUUACUGACGCUGAGGAGCGAAAGCGUGGGGAGCGAACAGG